rnacentral:rRNA from 1 species
UACGGAAGGGGCAAGCGUUGUUCGGAAUCAUUGGGCGUAAAGGGCGCGUAGGUGGUCUUGUAUGUCUACCGUGAAAGCGUACGGCUCAACCGUAUUUAGUCGGUAGAAACUGCAGGACUUGAGGCUGGGAGGGGCUGGUGGAAUUCCCUGUGUAGCGGUGAAAUGAGUAGAUAUCGGGAGGAACACCAGUGGCGAAGGCGACUACCUGGCCCAUUCUUGACGCUGAGGCGCGAAAGCUAGGGGAGCGAACGGG